CCUACGGGUGGCAGCAGUGAGGAAUAUUGGUCAAUGGACGAGAGUCUGAACCAGCCAAGUAGCGUGAAGGAUGACUGCCCUAUGGGUUGUAAACUUCUUUUAUAUGGGAAUAAAACGUUCCACGUGUGGGAUUUUGUAUGUACCAUAUGAAUAAGGAUCGGCUAACUCCGUGCCAGCAGCCGCGGUAAUACGGGGGAUCCGAGCGUUAUCCGGAUUUAUUGGGUUUAAAGGGAGCGUAGGUGGAUUGUUAAGUCAGUUGUGAAAGUUUGCGGCUCAACCGUAAAAUUGCAGUUGAAACUGGCAGUCUUGAGUACAGUAGAGGUGGGCGGAAUUCGUGGUGUAGCGGUGAAAUGCUUAGAUAUCACGAAGAACUCCGAUUGCGAAGGCAGUUCACUGGACUGCAACUGACACUGAGGCUCGAAAGUGUGGGUAUCAAACAGGAUUAGAUACCCCAGUAGUC
rnacentral:rRNA from 1 species